rfam:Bdellovibrionales bacterium RIFOXYA1_FTLL_36_14 rifoxya1_full_scaffold_166, whole genome shotgun sequence.
GGAGACGUGCCCGAGUGGUCGAAGGGAGCGCCUUGCUAAGGCGUGGAGCGGGCAACUGCUCCGUGAGUUCGAAUCUCACCGUCUCCG